GGGGAACAGCUGUGUGAAGCCCGCCGACCCGGCCCGACUUCGCCUGCGACUUCCCGGAACAAUAAGCCCCGGGCCCUAGCGCUGCUGGCCCAGCUCGGGGCGGAAAGCUGCUGCGCCGCGACCCCCGCCUCAGACUCGCUGUGGCGGCUGGGGCGCUGAGGUGUGACACGGCGCGUCUCAGUGUUGUUUGCGGGCGAACAGCCCGAGCCCGCCCAGACACUACGAGCCUUCCUGCCCCGCCGCCCUCGAAGACCUGCCCUCCCGGAGCGCCGAAGUCCUCAGCGGCGCCGAGGGCCCCUCCCCUGGGCUUGCGGGCUCUGAGAUGGAGUUUAUUUCCUUCUUGUGCUAAAUCUACUUGUGUCUAAUCCAUGGACUGUUUUCUGAACCCAUCCUCUGAUUUAACCUUGUUCGUGGGAGAGCCCAGAGGACACUCCUUUUAUCAAAGCAGUCAAGAAUGCACAGGUGAGAGAGGUACUAGCAUCAAGCAAAAACAGUGAUGACUGGUCUUUGGAAUCUGGGGCUAACAGUGGAGAUGCUCUUAGACAACCAGCCUUCCUCAUAGGAUGCAAAGAUAUCAAUAAUAGAGGCCAAGUGAUAUAGCAUGUAACUCUUAAGAAGCAAAGUGGGCACAAUUAUCUUAACUACAUGAAAGCUCUAGAAUGGGUUAAUAGAAAUGGUGUAUAGUCAUUGUCUUACUUUAUUUUCCCAACAGUCCAGUGAGGCAAAUAUUCGAUCCCAUUUUCUAGAGAAUCUGCAUGCAAGUCAAGGCUGAGAAGGACUGACACCUUUGCCAAAGAUCCACAGAAAUGCAGACCUGGCCUCAACUCCAGGGCCACCUACCACCCAAGUCCAAGUAUUAGCAUCAGACCACACUGCUUAGGAAAGAAGUAUGAGAGACACUUCCAACCCUGCCAGUGGCUGAUAGAUCUCUGGGAGACAGAAACAGCAUGAACUUAUUCAGAGGAGGAACAGAAAUGAUGUAUGUUGAAACUUGAUUUUAUGGAAUUUUCAUGAGAACUGAGAAG
rnacentral:lncRNA from 1 species